CACGUAGGGCGCAAGCGUUGUCCGGAAUUAUUGGGCGUAAAGAGCUCGUGAGGUCGCCUGUUAAGUCGGGUGUGAAAGCCCUGGGCUCAACCCAGGAAGUGCACUCGAAACUGGCAGGCUUGAAUAUGGAAGAGGGUCGCGGAAUUCCCCGGUGUAGAGGUGAAAUGCGCAGAUAUCAGGAGGAACACCGGUGGCGAAGGCG
rnacentral:rRNA from 1 species